rnacentral:tRNA from 1 species
GGACUCGUGGUCUAGUGGUUAUGACGUCGCCCUUACAAGGCGAAGGUCGCUGGUUCGAUCCCGGCCGGGUCCACCA